rnacentral:rRNA from 1 species
UACGUAGGGACCGAGCGUUGUCCGGAAUCAUUGGGCGUAAAGAGCGUGUAGGCGGCCCCUUAAGUCCUGCGUGAAAUCCUGCGGCUCAACCGCAGACGGUCGUGGGAAACUGGAGGGCUAGAGUGCGGGAGAGGAGAGUGGAAUUCCCGGUGUAGCGGUGAAAUGCGUAGAUAUCUGGAGGAACACCGGUGGCGAAGGCGGCAUCCUGGACCAGUCCUGACGCUGAGGCACGAAAGCGUGGGGAGCAAACAGG